GCAAAUUCAGUGCUUGUUUCCUCGUUCUUGCUAGUUCUUCGAUUGCUUGUAGGACGGGAGCCCUAGGGGCUGGUUGUCGCGCUCCACAAGAUCGUGACGGCUGUUGGACGUGGUGUAUCGGUUGCUAAGGCGCGGUCUUGAGGGCUGUAGUCGGGCCGUGAACGUCAUCUCCAUCCACUAAUCGAGUUAUCCAGCGCCUCUCAUCGAAAGAUCAGGCCAAAAACCCUAGCGGGUUCGCAUC
rnacentral:lncRNA from 1 species